rnacentral:rRNA from 1 species
GACGAACGCUGGCGGCGUGCUUAACACAUGCAAGUCGAACGGUGAAGCGCCUUCCUUUUUGGUGGGUGUGGAUGAGUGGCGAACGGGUGAGUAACACGUGAGUAACCUGCCCCCUUCUUCUGGAUAACCGCAUGAAAGUGUGGCUAAUACGGGAUAUUCUGGGUCUGUCGCAUGAUGGGUCUGGGAAAGAUAUUGUUUCGGUGGGGGAUGGGCUCGCGGCCUAUCAGCUUGUUGGUGGGGUGAUGGCCUACCAAGGCGGUGACGGGUAGCCGGCCUGAGAGGGUGGACGGUCACACUGGGACGGAGACACGGCCCAGACGCCUACGGGAGGCAGCAGUGGGGAAUAUUGCACGAUGGGCGCAAGCCUGAUGCAGCGACGCCGCGUGAGGGAUGGAGGCCUUCGGGUUGUGAACCUCUUUCGCCAGUGAAGCAGGCCUGCCUCGUUUGUGGGUGGGUUGACGGUAGCUGGAUAAGAAGCGCCGGCUAACUACGUG